rnacentral:rRNA from 1 species
AUUGAACGCUGGCGGCAGGCCUAACACAUGCAAGUCGAGCGAGCCGCGGGCGUGUGGGUAAUGUAUGGGGAUGUGCCCGGGGGAGGGGGAUAACUACUGGAAACUGUUGCUAAUACCGCACACUUUCGGAUGAACCGGUAUGGGAUUAGCUAGUGGGUGGGGUAAAGGCUCACCUAGGCGACGAUCUCUAGCUGGUCUGAGAGGAUGAACAGCCACACUGGAACUGAGACACGGCCCAGACUCCUACGGGAGGCAGCAGUGGGGAAUAUUGGACAAUGGGCGAAAGCCUGAUCCAGCCAUGCCGCGUGUGUGAAGAAGGUCUUCGGAUUGUAAAGCACUUUAAGUUGGGAGGCGUUACCAACAGAAGAAGCACCGGCUAACUCCGUGCCAGCAGCCGCGGUAAUUC